AUGGGGAAGCUAUCUGUUCAUAUCCAGACCCCUCUGACUCCAGGGCAGCUCCCCUAUCCGACUUCUGAUGAAGAUGAAUCGCGUGUCGCCGCUUCUAAUGUUCUUAUUUUUUUAUUUACUUUAAACAUGAUUCUCUUACAUUCUGUAUUUUGCUCUCUCUCUCUGUCUGUCUGUCUCUCUUUCUCUCUCUCUCUUCCCGUCUGCUUUUGACCCUAUUGACUGGUAAUUGCUAUAACGACGGCAAAUGGAGGCCAGUUUCUAUGGAGACAAUAAAACUGUCAUGUAGUGAAUAAUAAAUAUUUGCGUGGCAAUUUUGUGCUCCACUGACCCCAAAAGUCAAAGACAGAAAAUAAAC
rnacentral:lncRNA from 1 species